rnacentral:rRNA from 1 species
CGGCGGACGGGUGAGUAACACGUGGAUAACCUACCUAUAAGACUGGGAUAACUUCGGGAAACCGGAGCUAAUACCGGAUAAUAUUUUGAACCGCAUGGUUCAAAAGUGAAAGACGGUCUUGCUGUCACUUAUAGAUGGGUCCGCGCUGCAUUAGCUAGUUGGUAAGGUAACGGCUUACCAAGGCAACGAUGCAUAGCCGACCUGAGAGGGUGAUCGGCCACACUGGAACUGAGACACGGUCCAG